UUCCCCUUUUAGAAUUUUCUUUUUAUAUUUUUUAUUUGGUUUUUCUUUUUCUUUAUUUAUUAUUCUAUGUGGAAGCAUAUAAUUAGUGGCUUGUGGGAGUAAGUGUGUGGCAUGUGGAAAAGUUAGUAUGGCAUGUGAAAAGAUUAGGGUGACGUGUGGAAAAAUUAGUAGGGCGUGUGCCUUUUGCAUGUAUCCUAUGAAAAAUGGAAAGUGAGG
rnacentral:lncRNA from 1 species